GAUGAACGCUGGCGGCGUGCCUAAUACAUGCAAGUCGAGCGAACGGACGAGAAGUUUGCUUCUCUGAUGUUAGCGGCGGACGGGUGAGUAACACGUGGAUAACCUACCUAUAAGACUGGGAUAACUUCGGGAAAUCGGAGCUAAUACCGGAUAAUAUUUUGAACCGCAUGGUUCAAAAGUUAAAGACGGUCUUGCUGUCACUUAUAGAUGGACCCGCGCUGCAUGAGCUAGUUGGUAAGGUAACGGCUUACCAAGGCAACGAUGCAUAGCCGACCUGAGCGGGUGGUCGGCCAGACGGGAACUGAGACACAGUCCAGACUCCUACAGGAGGCAGCAGUAGGGAAUCUUCCGCAAUGGGCGAAAGCCUAACGGUGCAACGCGGCGGGAGGGAUGAAGGACUUCGGAUCGGAGAGCUCUGUUAGUAGGAAGGAACAUAUGUGUAAGUAACUGGGCAGAUCUUGACGGUACCUGAUCAGAAAGCCACGGCUAACUACGUG
rnacentral:rRNA from 1 species